rnacentral:rRNA from 1 species
ACUCCGGUUGAUCCUGCCGGACCCGACCGCUAUCGGGGUAGGGCUAAGCCAUGGGAGUCGAACGCCCCGCCGCUGCGGGGCGUGGCGGACGGCUGAGUAACACGUGGCUAACCUACCCUCGGGACGGGGAUAACCCCUCGGGAAACUGGGGCUAAUUCCCGAUAGGCGGGGGGUGCCUGGAAGGGUCCUCCGCCGAAAGGGGCCGCGGGGGGUUAUCGCCCGCGGUCCGCCCGAGGAUGGGGCUGCGGCCCAUCACGGUAGUUGGCGGGGUAAUGGCCCGCCAAGCCUACGACGGGUAGGGGCCGUGAGAGCGGGAGCCCCCAGAUGGGCACUGAGACAAGGGCCCAGGCCCUACGGGGCGCACCAGGCGCGAAAACUCCGCAAUGCGGGCAACCGUGACGGGGCUACCCCGAGUGCCCCCCUUGGGGGGGCUUUUCCCCGCUGUAAGUAGGCGGGGGAAUAAGCGGGGGGCAAGACUGGUGUCAGCCGCCGCGGUAAUACCACCCCCGCGAGCGGUCGGGGUGCUUACUGGGCCUAAAGCGCCCGUAGCCGGCUCGACAAGUCCCCGCCUAAAGCCCCGGGCUCAACCCGGGGAGUGGCGGGGAUACUGUCGGGCUAGGGGGCGGGAGAGGCCGAGGGUACUCCCGGGGUAGGGGCGAAAUCCAUUAAUCCCGGGAGGACCACCAGUGGCGAAGGCGCUCGGCUGGAACGCGCCCGACGGUGAGGGGCGAAAGCCGGGGGAGCGAACCGGAUUAGAUACCCGGGUAGUCCCGGCUGUAAACGAUGCGGGCUAGGUGUUGGGCGGGCGUGCGAGCCCGCCCAGUGCCGCAGGGAAGCCGUUAAGCCCGCCGCCUGGGGAGUACGGCCGCAAGGCUGAAACUUAAAGGAAUUGGCGGGGGAGCACCACAAGGGGUGGAGCCUGCGGCUUAAUUGGAGUCAACGCCGGGAACCUCCACCGGGGGCGACAGCAGGAUGACGGCCAGGCUGAAGGCCUUGCCCGACGCGCUGAGGGGAGGUGCAUGGCCGUCGCCAGCUCGUGCCGUGAGGUGUCCUGUUAAGUCAGGCAACGAGCGAGACCCCCGCCCCUAGUUGCCAUCCCCGGGGCGUCCCGGGGGGCACACUAGGGGGACUGCCGCCGCUAAGGCGGAGGAAGGAGGGGGCAACGGCAGGUCAGCAUGCCCCUAAACCCCCGGGCUGCACGCGGGCUACAAUGGCGGGGACAGCGGGUGCCGACCCCGAAAGGGGGAGGCAAUCCCUCAAACCCCGCCUCAGUUGGGAUCGAGGGCUGCAACUCGCCCUCGUGAACGUGGAAUCCCUAGUAACCGCGCGUCAUCAUCGCGCGGUGAAUACGUCCCUGCUCCUUGCACACACUGCCCGUCGCUCCACCCGAGGGGGGAGGGGGUGAGGCCCUCUCCGCCGGGAGGGGGUCGAACCCCCUCCCCCCGAGGGGGGAGAAGUCGUAACAAGGUAGCCGUAGGGGAACCUGCGGCUGGAUCACCUC